UCUCCGUAGGUGAACCUGCGGAGGGAUCAUUACAAGUGACCCCGGUCUUACCACCGGGAUGUUCAUAACCCUUUGUUGUCCGACUCUGUUGCCACCGGGGCGACCCUGCCUUCGGGCGGGGGCUCCGGGUGGACACUUCAAACUCUUGCGUAACUUUGCAGUCUGAGUAAACUUAAUUAAUAAAUUAAAACUUUUAACAACGGAUCUCUUGGUUCUG
rnacentral:misc_RNA from 1 species